UUUCAAGGCGCCUGCGGAGCGAGUGCCCCGAGAGGCGUCGCCUGGCGCUCCGAGGCCUGGUGGUGAUCAGCAAGGCUCCCGCAAUGGCUAAGAGCAUCUGGAGCCUGAAUGAAAGCCUCCUGGAGCUACUCCAGGAUGCAGACACAGACGCGGUUGAGAUGACCCUCUCUGCAUUCAUCAAUGUGCUACACUUGAAGACCAUCCAAAUAUCCAGUCCCACUGCCCUGAAGUUGCUUGAGGUGCUGCGGCCACUCUUUGACAACGAGCACAGCCAGCUGCAGCAGCUCUCCAUGGUCCUCUUCCGGGAG